GCCCGAAGCUAUCUCAGCUCAGGCUGUGAUCUCAUCAGACUGCACAAGCUAAGCAGUGUUAGGCCUGGUCAAUACUUAGCUGGGAUCCCUCAUGGGACCAGCCAGGUACUACAAGAA
rnacentral:rRNA from 1 species